UACAGAGGGUGCAAGCGUUGUUCGGAAUUAUUGGGCGUAAAGGGCGCGUAGGCGGUGCUGUAAGUCUGUGGUGAAAUCCCCGGGCUCAACCUGGGAACUGCAUUUGUGACUGCACGGCUGGAGUGCGGCAGAGGGGGAUGGAAUUCCGCGUGUAGCAGUGAAAUGCGUAGAGAUGUGGAGGAAUACCGAUGGCGAAGGCAGCCCCCUGGGCCAAUACUGACGCUCAUGCACGAAAGCGUGGGGAGCAAACAGG
rnacentral:rRNA from 1 species